rnacentral:lncRNA from 1 species
UUCGAUGUCUACAAUUCCAAUAAGUUUUAUGUCAUCAAUUUAUGCAGCAAGUACGACAAACUUCUAUGUCGUUUUCUUUAUAAAAACACAUGGACAAAUGACAUCAUUUAUAUAACAACAACAAUCCAGUAUAAUCUCACUUAGUGGGGUCUGGGGAGGGUAGUAUGUACGCAGACCUUACCCCUACCCUUGGGUAGAGAGGCUGUUUCCAAAUAGACCCCCGGCAUCCUUCCCUCCAAGAAC